AUCGCUUCUCGGCCUUUUGGAUAAGAUCAAGUGUAGUGUUCUUAUCAGUUUAAUAUCUGAUUCGUCCUCUAUCCGAUAUAUCCUCGGAUAGAGGACGAUAUAUUAAAUGGGUUUUUGGACCUAGGAGUUGGAAUAGGAGCUUGCUAUGUCCACUCCACACAUCAACCUGGUAUUGCAGUACCUCCAGGAACGGGGGUGAGUUA
ensembl:snRNA LOC120094504 U2 spliceosomal RNA